rnacentral:tRNA from 1 species
AGUUCCAGGGUGUAAUGGCUAGCACCCUGGACUCUGAAUCCAGUGAUCUGCAUUCAAAUCUUGGUGGGACCU